rnacentral:rRNA from 1 species
UGGGGAAUAUUGCACAAUGGGCGCAAGCCUGAUGCAGCCAUGCCGCGUGUGUGAAGAAGGCCUUCGGGUUGUAAAGCACUUUCAGCGAGGAGGAAGGGUAGUGUGUUAAUAGCACAUUGCAUUGACGUUACUCGCAGAAGAAGCACCGGCUAACUCCGUGCCAGCAGCCGCGGUAAUACGGAGGGUGCAAGCGUUAAUCGGAAUUACUGGGCGUAAAGCGCACGCAGGCGGUUUGUUAAGUCAGAUGUGAAAUCCCCGCGCUUAACGUGGGAACUGCAUUUGAAACUGGCAAGCUAGAGUCUUGUAGAGGGGGGUAGAAUUCCAGGUGUAGCGGUGAAAUGCGUAGAGAUCUGGAGGAAUACCGGUGGCGAAGGCGGCCCCCUGGACAAAGACUGACGCUCAGGUGCGAAAGCGUGGGGAGCAAAACAGGAUUAGAUACCCUGGUAGUCCACGCUGUAAACGAUGUCGACUUGGGGGGUUGUGCCCUUGAGGCGUGGCUUCCGGAGCUAACGCGUUAAGUCGACCGCCUGGGGAGUACGGCCGCAAGGUUAAA